GAAAUGCGAUAAGUAAUGUGAAUUGCAGAAUUCAGUGAAUCAUCGAAUCUUUGAACGCACAUCGCGCCCGCCAGUAUUCUGGCGGGCAUGCCUGUUCGAGCGUCAUUUCAACCAUCAAGCCCCGGCUUGUGUUGGGGACCUGCGGCUGCCCGCAGGCCCUGAAAAACAGUGGCGGGCUCGCUGUCACACCGAGCGUAGUAGCAUACAUUCUCGCUCAGGGCGUGCUGCGGGUUCCGGCCGUUAAACGACCUUCAUAACCCAAGGUUGACCUCGGAUCAGGUAGGAAGACCCGCUGAACUUAAGC
rnacentral:misc_RNA from 1 species